CAAGAAUUGAGCGAGGAAGCCAAAGAAUUUUCCCACUUGCUGCUAAAUAAAGUUGAGCGUACAGAAUCUCUUCCGAGAGAAAAUUAUACCCAUGGUGAUGUUUUAAUAUGUUUGGGAAUUGUGAAAGCUGUAAGAGGGAAAUUGUUGAUUGAUAUUCAUCACCAUUAUAAAGUUGUUGAUGUUGAUGCAGAAACUAUGUGGACCUAUGAUAUUUUGUUGGCAAGAAAACUGACCAAACCUUCUUGAUGGCACAAGGUCCAGCUUCUUAACUCUUUUAGUGCUAGCCUAGAUUGAUGACUGAC